rnacentral:lncRNA from 1 species
GGGUUACAAGAAAUGGCUGUGGUGGUGGUGGUGGUGUCUAUGUUCAUCCCAUCCUAAACAGUGCAGAAAAGGGUAACAGGCCAUAAAGAUGCAUCUUGUAAACAUAGAGAAGACAGAGGAGACUAGCAAGCAAGGACAACAACAACAUGCCAGUAAGGGAUCAUCAUAUGGAUUGGCACCUUCAUGGUGGUGGUGGUGGUGAUGGUGAUGACCCAUCUCCUUCUUUAUUUAUACUGACAAAAGCAGAACAAAUAAUUAGCCAUUAUUCAAUUAACAAAUCAAAAAACACCCACUUCCUUAUAUACUAUCUGAGUCUUGAUGAAAAAGAUGGAAUCUUUAGUAUAAAAAUGAAACUCAAAUCAAGCAAAGAACGUACCGUUGUGAGUUGUGAAAUGAACCUUCCUCUUUUCUUUUGUCAAUUGUUUAAUUAUUGCAAGCUACAAAGGAAAAGCUAUACCAAAAUGAAUCAUAAGUUGAAUUUGGGGGAAAUUUAUAAGACUUGUGAAUGGCGUUGGGUCGAACAGAG